GCAACAUCUUUAAUGUUAUAACUUAAAGAAAAAAGAUAUAGAGUAAUUAGAACUUUUAGGGAAAAUUAAAUGUUUUUAUAAAAAAAAUAAGUGUUUUUUAGAUGUUUAUUAAUUAUAGAACACCCUGAAAUGAAUCCGAGUCCACAAUACGGAUUUUAGAAUUUAAAUACUUGGCAACCGUCUGUCUAAAGGUAUCUAAACCUCUUUUAGAAGGCGGGUAAAUCAUUCAAUCAUCAAAAAAUUUUAUAUAAGUGGUUGUAUGUUCUGUAAUUACUAUAAAGUUCACGUUAAAGAUGAAUAUGGGUGGAGCAAUAUCUUAAAUAUUUUUGUGGUGUCACUGUUAAUAAUAAAAUAUGUAAGUUAAUUUCAAUCUAGAUUUUAAAAAGAAAAUAAUAAAAGAAAUAAAUAAUUCAUUUCAAAUAAAGUAUUAAUUAAGUGUGAAAAAAUGUGUAACAUCUCGUAUAAUAUAUAUCAAGAAAAUAUAUUAUACAAAUUUUAAUUGGUACUAAUAAAACACAAGUUCCUAACGACAUCAUUAUAUACAUGUUCAUAACGUAAAAUACAAUGUAUGACAUAUGACAUACAAUAAUGCCUAAACAAAAACUAAGAUCUAUGUACAAUAUCCUCAUUGCACAUAAUCCAUAGCGAAAGAUCACGAUAACGAAAGUCUAUGAAACAUCAUUAGACAACUUCUUAUUGCCUUUAACUAG
rnacentral:lncRNA from 1 species